GACGAACGCUGGCGGCGUGCUUAACACAUGCAAGUCGAACGGCAAGGCCCUGCUUUUGUGGGGUGCUCGAGUGGCGAACGGGUGAGUAACACGUGAGUAACCUGCCCUUGACUUUGGGAUAACUUCCGGAAACUGGGGCUAAUACCGGAUAGGAGCUCCUGCUGCAUGGUGGGGGUUGGAAAGUUUCGGCGGUUGGGGAUGGACUCGCGGCUUAUCAGCUUGUUGGUGGGGUAGUGGCUUACCAAGGCUUUGACGGGUAGCCGGCCUGAGAGGGUGACCGGCAAAAUGGGGACUGAGAUACGGCACAGACUCCUACGGGAGGCAGCAGUGGGGAAUAUUGCACAAUGGGCGGAAGCCGGAUGCAGCAACGACGCGUGCGGGAUGACGGCCUUCGGGUUGUAAACCGCUUUCGCCUGUGACGAAGCGUGAGUGACGGUAAUGGGUAAAGAAGCACCGGCUAACUACGUG
rnacentral:rRNA from 1 species